UGGGGAAUUGUUCACAAUGGACGCAAGUCUGAACCAGCCAUGCCGCGUGGAGGAUGAAGGUCCUCUGGAUUGUAAACUUCUUUUAUUUGGGAAGAAAUCUAUCUUUUCUUGGAUAGUUGACGGUACCAGAUGAAUAAGCACCGGCUAACUCCGUGCCAGCAGCCGCGGUAAUACGGAGGGUGCAAGCGUUAUCCGGAUUCACUGGGUUUAAAGGGUGCGUAGGUGGGCAGGUAAGUCAGUGGUGAAAUCUCCGGGCUUGACCCGGAAACUGCCAUUGAUACUAUCUGUCUUGAAUACCCUGGAGGUGAGCGGAAUAUGUCAUGUAGCGGUGAAAUGCUUAGAUAUGACAUAGAACACCCAUUGCGAAGGCAGCUCACUACGGGACUAUAGACACUGAGGCACGAAAGCGUGGGGAUCAAA
rnacentral:rRNA from 1 species